AGAGUUUGAUCCUGGCUCAGGAUGAACGCUGGCGGCGUGCUUAACACAUGCAAGUCGAACGAAGCACUUGAAUGGAAUUCUUCGGAAGGAAGCUCAAGUGACUGAGUGGCGGACGGGUGAGUAACGCGUGGGUAACCUGCCUCAUACAGGGGGAUAACAGUUGGAAACGGCUGCUAAUACCGCAUAAGCGCACAGUACCGCAUGGUACCGUGUGAAAAACUCCGGUGGUAUGAGAUGGACCCGCGUCUGAUUAGCUAGUUGGUGGGGUAACGGCCUACCAAGGCGACGAUCAGUAGCCGGCCUGAGAGGGUGAACGGCCACAUUGGGACUGAGACACGGCCCAAACUCCUACGGGAGGCAGCAGUGGGGAAUAUUGCACAAUGGGGGAAACCCUGAUGCAGCGACGCCGCGUGAGUGAAGAAGUAUUUCGGUAUGUAAAGCUCUAUCAGCAGGGAAGAAAAUGACGGUACCUGACUAAGAAGCCCCGGCUAACUACGUGCCAGCAGCCGCGGUAAUACGUAGGGGGCAAGCGUUAUCCGGAUUUACUGGGUGUAAAGGGAGCGUAGACGGAUGGACAAGUCUGAUGUGAAAGGCUGGGGCUCAACCCCGGGACUGCAUUGGAAACUGCCCGUCUUGAGUGCCGGAGAGGUAAGCGGAAUUCCUAGUGUAGCGGUGAAAUGCGUAGAUAUUAGGAGGAACACCAGUGGCGAAGGCGGCUUACUGGACGGUAACUGACGUUGAGGCUCGAAAGCGUGGGGAGCAAACAGGAUUAGAUACCCUGGUAGUCCACGC
rnacentral:rRNA from 1 species